rnacentral:rRNA from 1 species
UCGAGAAUCUUCCGCAAUGGACGAAAGUCUGACGGAGCGACGCCGCGUGCGGGAUUAAGGCCUUCGGGUUGUAAACCGCUGUCAGAGGGGAGCAAAUUUUGAGCGAUCCUCAGAGGAAGUACGGGCUAAGUUCGUGCCAGCAGCCGCGGUAACACGAACCGUACGAACGUUAUUCGGAAUCACUGGGCUUAAAGAGUCCGUAGGCGGGUUAGUAAGUCGGGUGUGAAAUCCCACGGCUCAACCGUGGAACUGCGCCCGAUACUGCUAGUCUUGAGGGAGAUAGAGGAAAGCGGAACUGAUGGUGGAGCGGUGAAAUGCGUUGAUAUCAUCAGGAACACCGGUGGCGAAAGCGGCUUUCUGGAUCUCUUCUGACGCUGAGGGACGAAAGCUAGGGGAGCGAACGGGAUUAGAUACCCCUGUAGUCC